AAUCGGGGCAGCAUCGGCGGUGCAGCCACAGACGUGGUUAGGAGUCAUCUCGUUCGACUGUCGCCUUAAUGGGAGCGGUGGCGGCCUUAAAUGAAGAAGUCUGCGGUUAAUGAAGUUCAACCCUGCUCCACGGUCCUUUGACUCGCCCCAUGGACUCAACUGGUGACAGAAGAUGAAGCUGAUGACACAGAUUAACCAUAUUCAGAAUAACCGAUGGAGUGUAACACACCGGAUAGGCUACUAUUGAGUAAGACUCUGUUAUAGAGCUGCAUUUUUUCAGUUAUUUGCACUGCUAUAAUGUCAGCCUUUUUACUUAUUAUUCCUGGAAAUAGCCCAGAAGUUUCAUUUCAGGC